rnacentral:rRNA from 1 species
CAGUAGCGUAUACUAAAGUUGUUGCGGUUAAAACGCUCGUAGUUGGACUUCUGGCUUGGACGACCGGUCCGUCCCUUGGACGCGUAUCUGGCUCGGCCUAGCCAUCUUGGUUGCGGUUGUGCCCUUCAUUGGGUUCGCCGUUGCCCGAUUACUUUGAGGAAAUGAGAGUGUUCCAAGCAGGCGUUCGCCUUGUAUACUUUAGCAUAGAAUAAUGAGAUAAGAUCUGGGUCUUGUUUUGUUGGUUCACCGGGCUCGGAUAAUGAUCAAGAGGAACAGGUCGGGGGCAUUCGUAUUCAACUGUCAGAGGUGAAAUUCUUGGAUUUGUUGAAGACGGACUACUGCGAAAGCAUUUGCCAAGGAUGUUUUCAUUGA